rnacentral:rRNA from 1 species
CGAGCGCAACCCUCGUUUUUAGUUGCCAGCAUUAAGUUGGGCACUCUAGAGAGACUGCCGGUGACAAACCGGAGGAAGGUGGGGAUGACGUCAAGUCAGCAUGCCCCUUACGUCUUGGGCUACACACGUACUACAAUGCUACGGACAGAGGGCAGCAAGCUAGCGAUAGCAAGCAAAUCCCGUAAACCGUAGCUCAGUUCAGAUCGCAGGCUGCAACUCGCCUGCGUGAAGGAGGAAUCGCUAGUAAUUGCAGGUCAGCAUACUGCAGUGAAUUCGUUCCCGG